GACAUGCAAGUUGAACGGUUGAUUCAGGGUAGCAAUAUCCUGGGUUAGCAGUGGCGUAAGGGUGCUUAACACGUGGGUAAUCUGCCGCGAAGUGUGGGAUAACUCGCUGAAAGGCGAGCUAAUACCGCAUGUGAUCUUCUUGAGGCAUCUCAAGGAGUUCAAACAUGGGUCGCAAGACCUGUGGUUUCGCGAUGAGCCCGCGGCCUAUCAGCUAGUUGGCGGGGUAAAAGCCCACCAAGGCUAAGACGGGUAGCUGGUCUGAGAGGACGACCAGCCACACUGGAACUGAGACACGGUCCAGACACCUACGGGUGGCAGCAGUCGAGAAUUUUUCACAAUGGGGGAAACCCUGAUGGAGCGACGCCGCGUGGGGGAUGAAGGGCUUCGGUUCGUAAACCCCUGUCAUUGGCGAACAAGUGUUGCGCUCUAAUACAGUGUAACUUGAUAGUAGCCGAAGAGGAAGGGACGGCUAACUCUGUGCCAGCAGCCGCGGUAAUACAGAGGUCCCGAGCGUUGUUCGGAUUCACUGGGCGUAAAGGGUGCGUAGGUGGUUGGUUAAGUUUGAGGUGAAAGCUCCGAGCUCAACUCGGAAAAUGCCUUGAAGACUAUCUGACUAGAGGAUUGGAGAGGAGAUUGGAAUUCUCGGUGUAGCAGUGAAAUGCGUAGAUAUCGAGAGGAACACCAGUGGCGAAGGCGAAUCUCUAGACAAUUCCUGACACUGAGGCACGAAAGCCAAGGGAGCAAACGGGAUUAGAUACCCCGGUAGUCUUGGCUGUAAACGGUGCGCACUUGCUGUGAGCGGAUUCGACCCCGCUCGUGGCGUAGUUAACACGAUAAGUGCGCCGCCUGCGAAGUACGGUUCGCAAGAUUAAAACUCAAAGAAAUUGACGGGGGCCUGCACAAGCGGUGCAGUAUGUAGCUUAUACGAUGCAACGCGAAGAUCUUACCUAGCCUUGACAUGCAAAUAGUAGAAGCCUGAAGGUGACGAGUAGCAAUACCAGUUGCACAGGUGCUGCCAUGGCUUGUCGUCAGCUCAUGUC
rnacentral:rRNA from 1 species